rnacentral:rRNA from 1 species
GCGAACGGGUGAGUAACGCGUGAGGAACCUGCCUCAAAGAGGGGGACAACAGUUGGAAACGACUGCUAAUACCGCAUAAGCCCACGGGUCGACAUCGACCAGAGGGAAAAGGAGCAAUCCGCUUUGAGAUGGCCUCGCGUCCGAUUAGCUAGUUGGUGAGGUAACGGCCCACCAAGGCAACGAUCGGUAGCCGGACUGAGAGGUUGAACGGCCACAUUGGGACUGAGACACGGCCCAGACUCCUACGGGAGGCAGCAGUGGGGAAUAUUGCACAAUGGGGGAAACCCUGAUGCAGCGACGCCGCGUGGAGGAAGAAGGUCUUCGGAUUGUAAACUCCUGUUGUUGAGGAAGAUAAUGACGGUACUCAACAAGGAAGUGACGGCUAACUACGUGCCAGCAGCCGCGGUAAAACGUAGGUCACAAGCGUUGUCCGGAAUUACUGGGUGUAAAGGGAGCGCAGGCGGGAAGACAAGUUGGAAGUGAAAUCCAUGGGCUCAACCCAUGAACUGCUUUCAAAACUGUUUUUCUUGAGUAGUGCAGAGGUAGGC